GGGAAUGUGGCUUAGUGGUAGAGUGCUUGCCUAGCAUGAAGCCCUAGGUUCGAUUCCUCAAUACCA
rnacentral:tRNA from 1 species